rnacentral:rRNA from 1 species
UACGAAGGGGGCUAGCGUUGUUCGGAUUUACUGGGCGUAAAGCGCACGUAGGCGGCUCGUCGCGUCGGCUGUGAAAACCUGGGGCUCAACCCCGGGCCUGCAGCCGAUACGGGCGAGCUAGAAUUCGGUAGGGGAGACUGGAAUUCCUGGUGUAGCGGUGGAAUGCGCAGAUAUCAGGAGGAACACCGGUGGCGAAGGCGGGUCUCUGGGCCAUUACUGACGCUGAGGAGCGAAAGCGUGGGGAGCGAACAGG